rnacentral:ncRNA from 1 species
GCAUUAGGUGCUCUUACAUGAAGAGAGAAUAGGGAAUAAAGUGAAAAACUUUAGCGGACCCGCCACUGUAACAGCGAGUCACUAACGACAUACCACUGAAAAAUCGGGAAGGUGUUAGUAGACGAUGAACUGGAGCCAGGAGACCUGCCUAAU